GUAUCUGAAGCCUGACGAGGAUGAGAACCUCCGGGGGCAAGAGGUUCGACUCGAGCGAAGCGAGAGAACGUUGCGUCAGCAACGGCCCGCAGUGGCAAGUCAUCCUCUGUCACCGGCCG
rnacentral:sRNA from 9 species